UGUCUAGGGGUUCAAACCUAAAGAACCCAAAUAUCUAAACGGAGAAAUUCAAUACUGUUGAUUUAUCAACAGUGUGCACUUUUCUCUUAGUAAGACGUUGUGAUCCAUUAGGAAUCGAGUGUCUAUCUAAAAUUGGACAAUCAGUAGGCUACCAAUAGGCGGGCAUUGAAGUUCACAUUGACAAAUAACAUGAUCUUUUGGUUUUGUAUAUUGUCUUGUGAGCAUGCCAUGUUCUGAUGUAGCUGCCUGAUGGAUUUUAAAGGCCACAUCAUUGAUCUUUAUUUGUGAUCACCCGACUUUGUUGGGAUUUUAAGCUGUGUGCCCGAUCAACAACGGAUUCAUUUGGGAUACCUUUGGGACCCGUCUUGAAACACGGACCAAGGAGUCUAUCUAGUAUGCGAGUAAAUGGGAUGCUAAAAACCUAUUUGCGUAAAAAACUUGACUGUUAUGGGAUUACGUGUACAUUUUACUUUUCUAGUGUGUGCACUUCCAUCCCGGAGUAUUUUCAUAACAUAUAUGAGCAAUUGUAUAUAGAAAAUAUAUCAUGAGCAUACUGGACAUGACCCGAAAGAUGGUGAACUAUGCCUGAUCAGGUUGAAGUCAGGGGAAACCCUGAUGGAGGACCGAAGCAAUUCUGACGUGCAAAUCGAUUGUCAGAAUUGGGCAUAGGGGCGAAAGACCAAUCGAACCAUC
rnacentral:rRNA from 1 species